UACGGAGGGAGCUAGCGUUGUUCGGAAUUACUGGGCGUAAAGCGCGCGUAGGCGGCUUUGUAAGUUAGAGGUGAAAGCCCGGAGCUCAACUCCGGAACUGCCUUUAAAACUGCAUCGCUUGAAUCCAGGAGAGGUGAGUGGAAUUCCGAGUGUAGAGGUGAAAUUUGUAGAUAUUCGGAAGAACACCAGUGGCGAAGGCGGCUCACUGGACUGGUAUUGACGCUGAGGUGCGAAAGCGUGGGGAGCAAACAGG
rnacentral:rRNA from 1 species